CCUACGGUGGGCAGCAGUGAGGAAUAUUGGUCAAUGGACGAGAGUCUGAACCAGCCAAGUAGCGUGAAGGAUGACUGCCCUAUGGGUUGUAAACUUCUUUUAUAAAGGAAUAAAACGAGGCACGUGUGCCUUUUUGCAUGUACUUUAUGAAUAAGGAUCGGCUAACUCCUUGCCAGCAGCCGCGGUAAUACGUAGGAUCCAAGCGUUAUCCGGAUUUAUUGGGUGUAAAGGGAGCGCAGAUGGGGUGUUAAGUCAGUUGUGAAAGCUCGCGGCUCAACCGUAGAACUGCACUUGAUACUGGGUGGCUAGAGUGCAGGAGGGGCAGGCGGAAUUCGUGGUGUAGCGGUGAAAUGCGUAGAUAUCAGGAGGAACACCGGUGGCGAAGGCGGCCUGCUGGACUGCAACUGACGUUGAGGCUCGAAAGCGUGGGGAGCAAACAGGAUUAGAUACCCGAGUAGUC
rnacentral:rRNA from 1 species